rfam:Schistosoma rodhaini strain Burundi genome assembly, scaffold: SROB_scaffold0001504
AUCCAGUUGAUGAGUCCCAAAUAGGACGAAACGCGCGUCCUGGAU